rnacentral:rRNA from 1 species
UACAGGAGGGUGCGAGCGUUAAUCGGAAUUACUGGGCGUAAAGCGUGCGUAGACGGUUAUUUAGGUCGGGUGUGAAAGCCCCGGGCUCAACCUGGGAAUUGCAUUCGAGACUGAAUAGCUAGGGUACGGUAGAGGGAAGUGGAAUUUCCGGUGUAGCGGUGAAAUGCGUAGAUAUCGGAAGGAACAUCAGUGGCGAAAGCGACUUCCUGGACCAGUACCGACGUCAGGCACGAAAGCGUGGGGAGCAAACAGG